AUACGUAUGUCGCAAGCGUUAUCCGGAUUUAUUGGGCGUAAAGCGCGUCUAGGCGGCUUAGUAAGUCUGAUGUGAAAAUGCGGGGCUCAACCCCGUAUUGCGUUGGAAACUGCUAAACUAGAGUACUGGAGAGGUAGGCGGAACUACAAGUGUAGAGGUGAAAUUCGUAGAUAUUUGUAGGAAUGCCGAUGGGGAAGCCAGCCUACUGGACAGAUACUGACGCUAAAGCGCGAAAGCGUGGGUAGCAAACAGGAGUAGAUCCCCUGGUAGUCCACGCCGUAAACGAUGAUUACUAGGCGUUGGGGGUCGAACCUCAGCGCCCAAGCUAACGCGAUAAGUAAUCCGCCUGGGGAGUACGUACGCAAGUAUGAAACUCAAAUGAAUUGACGGGG
rnacentral:rRNA from 1 species